CAUGGAGGGUGAGAAUCCCGUUCGGCUGACCUUGAAACGCCCUACGAUACGCUUUCAAAGAGUCGAGUUGUUUGGGAAUGCAGCUCAAAAUGGGAGGUAAAUUUCUCCUAAGGCUAAAUACCGGCGAGAGACCGAUAGCGAACAAGUACCGUGAGGGAAAGAUGAAAAGAACUUUGAAAAGAGAGUUAAACAGUACGUGAAAUUGUUGAAAGGGAAACGAUUGAAGCCAGUCGUACCUGUGGGUAAUCAGCCUUUUGGGUGUGAUUUUGUGGAGUGUGAAGAGUUAAACGCCUUCAUGCCUGCAUAUUCGUGCACUUUGGGUGUAUUUACCCGUGUGGUAAGUUAACAUCAAUUUCGGUGGUCAUAAAAUGGCUGGAGGAAUGUAGCUUCGAUCUUGUAUUGAAGUGUUAUAGCCUCUGGUAGAUGUGACGAUUGGGAUCGAGGAUUGCAACGGAUACCCUUCGGGGCUACCUGCCUGAUCUCUGAUCGUUGCUCUGGUGCCGAAAGCUUGCUUACGGUUAUCAAAGUCGAUGGUCAAUAGGUUAGAACGGGUUAAAUUCGUUAAGGAUGUUGACGUAAUGG
rnacentral:rRNA from 1 species